GUCCCAGUUUGCUUGUCUAAAAGUCAAUGUUGAUAGUCAAUGUUGUUUGCAGAGUAACUUAUGUACUAGGAUUUGGGUGAUUUGGAUGGACACUUAAACUUGCAUAUCAGAAAUACAACAAACAGGAAUACCACAUUCACAACAGUUGAUAUUUAGUAGUGAAUUAGCUAUCUGGUAAAGCUUUUGUCUUGUUUGGAAGCCACUCCCCUAUUUGGCAAAGUAGUAUACCUGUUGCUAAUUGCAAGAGUAUAUAGCAAUGUUUGUUAUUACUGUUCUUGAUGUCUGAUAAAGGCCUGGAUAAUGGCUGAAAUGUCAUGAAUUUUAAAAUUUCUUCAAGAAGAGUCUUUUCAGGUUGCUGUUGAGGACAAACUGCCUCACGCUGCCAGCACUCAGGGGGAAAAUUGGGCUACCGGAGCGUCCGAGUGCUCCUCCUGACGAAGAGCGGCGGCAUUU
ensembl:lncRNA